GAGUUUGAUCAUGGCUCAGAUUGAACGCUGGCGGCAUGCCUUACACAUGCAAGUCGAACGGCAGCACGGGAGCUUGCUCCUGGUGGCGAGUGGCGAACGGGUGAGUAAUGCAUCGGAACGUAUCCUGGAGUGGGGGAUAACGUAGCGAAAGUUACGCUAAUACCGCAUAUUCUGUGAGCAGGAAAGCGGGGGACCUUCGGGCCUCGCGCUCUUGGAGCGGCCGAUGUCGGAUUAGCUAGUUGGUGAGGUAAAGGCUCACCAAGGCGACGAUCCGUAGCAGGUCUGAGAGGAUGAUCUGCCACACUGGAACUGAGACACGGUCCAGACUCCUACGGGAGGCAGCAGUGGGGAAUUUUGGGCAAUGGGGGCAACCCUGAUCCAGCCAUGCCGCGUGGGUGAAGAAGGCCUCGGUUGUUAAG
rnacentral:rRNA from 1 species